rnacentral:lncRNA from 1 species
UAGGCGAUCUCUGGUCGAUUCCUCGCGUCCAGACGAAGAGCAGCUCUGGGCGAGCAAGGUGAAGCGCGCAGUUCUUCUUGGUUCGGCCGUCGCGCAGCGGGCGCGCGCGAAGCUGGGCCGAGGCGGCUGCGGGGCCGACUCGGGCCGAAAGGUAAGCAGGUAGGUUUUUCUUUCUCUUUUUCUUUUUCCUUUUCCCUUUUUCUGUUUUCUCUUUUACAAAUAGUUUCGGAUUCAAACUUCAAAUACCAUUUUGAAAAGUUCAGAAGUAGGAGAAUUCAAAUAUGGUACUAGCAUUUGGAAAUAUUCAAAUGGGGUUAAAGGUUUAAAACAAAACCCAUUUGAAUAUCAUUUGUAAAAUGUAGGA